rnacentral:rRNA from 1 species
UGGGGAAUAUUGGACAAUGGGGGCAACCCUGAUCCAGCCAUGCCGCGUGUGUGAAGAAGGCCUUUUGGUUGUAAAGCACUUUAAGCAGUGAAGAAGACUCCAUGGUUAAUACCCAUGGACGAUGACAUUAGCUGCAGAAUAAGCACCGGCUAACUCUGUGCCAGCAGCCGCGGUAAUACAGAGGGUGCAAGCGUUAAUCGGAAUUACUGGGCGUAAAGCGAGCGUAGGUGGCUUGAUAAGUCAGAUGUGAAAGCCCCGGGCUUAAACUGGGAACGGCAUCUGAUACUGUUAGGCUAGAGUAGGUGAGAGGAAGGUAGAAUUCCAGGUGUAGCGGUGAAAUGCGUAGAGAUCUGGAGGAAUACCGAUGGCGAAGGCAGCCUUCUGGCAUCAUACUGACACUGAGGUUCGAAAGCGUGGGUAGCAAACA